rnacentral:rRNA from 1 species
CGCUGGCGGCGUGCCUAAUACAUGCAAGUAGAACGCUGAAGAGAGGAGCUUGCUCUUCUUGGAUGAGUUGCGAACGGGUGAGUAACGCGUAGGUAACCUGCCUUGUAGCGGGGGAUAACUAUUGGAAACGAUAGCUAAUACCGCAUAACAAUGGAUGACACAUGUCAUUUAUUUGAAAGGGGCAAUUGUUCCACUACAAGAUGGACCUGCGUUGUAUUAGCUAGUAGGUGAGGUAAUGGCUCACCUAGGCGACGAUACAUAGCCGACCUGAGAGGGUGAUCGGCCACACUGGGACUGAGACACGGCCCAGACUCCUACGGGAGGCAGCAGUAGGGAAUCUUCGGCAAUGGGGGCAACCCUGACCGAGCAACGCCGCGUGAGUGAAGAAGGUUUUCGGAUCGUAAAGCUCUGUUGUAAGUCAAGAACGGGUGUGAGAGUGGAAAGUUCACACUGUGACGGUAGCUUACCAGAAAGGGACGGCUAACUACGUGCCAGCAGCCGCGGUAAUACGUAGGUCCCGAGCGUUGUCCGGAWUUAUUGGGCGUAAAGCGAGCGCAGGCGGUUUGAUAAGUCUGAAGUUAAAGGCUGUGGCUCAACCAUAGUUCGCUUUGGAAACUGUCAAACUUGAGUGCAGAAGGGGAGAGUGGAAUUCCAUGUGUAGCGGUGAAAUGCGUAGAUAUAUGGAGGAACACCGGUGGCGAAAGCGGCUCUCUGGUCUGUAACUGACGCUGAGGCUCGAAAGCGUGGGGAGCGAACAGGAUUAGAUACCCUGGUAGUCCACGCCGUAAACGAUGAGUGCUAGGUGUUGGAUCCUUUCCGGGAUUCAGUGCCGCAGCUAACGCAUUAAGCACUCCGCCUGGGGAGUACGACCGCAAGGUUGAAACUCAAAGGAAUUGACGGGGGCCCGCACAAGCGGUGGAGCAUGUGGUUUAAUUCGAAGCAACGCGAAGAACCUUACCAGGUCUUGACAUCCCGAUGCUAUUUCUAGAGAUAGAAAGUUACUUCGGUACAUCGGUGACAGGUGGUGCAUGGUUGUCGUCAGCUCGUGUCGUGAGAUGUUGGGUUAAGUCCCGCAACGAGCGCAACCCCUAUUGUUAGUUGCCAUCAUUCAGUUGGGCACUCUAGCGAGACUGCCGGUAAUAAACCGGAGGAAGGUGGGGAUGACGUCAAAUCAUCAUGCCCCUUAUGACCUGGGCUACACACGUGCUACAAUGGUUGGUACAACGAGUUGCGAGUCGGUGACGGCGAGCUAAUCUCUUAAAGCCAAUCUCAGUUCGGAUUGUAGGCUGCAACUCGCCUACAUGAAGUCGGAAUCGCUAGUAAUCGCGGAUCAGCACGCCGCGGUGAAUACGUUCCCGGGCCUUGUACACACCGCCCGUCACACCACGAGAGUUUGUAACACCCGAAGUCGGUGAGGUAACCUUUUGGAGCCAGCCGCCUAAGGUGGGACAGAUGAUUGGGGUG